GAUUAACGCUGGCGGCGUGCAUAACACAUGCAAGUCGAACGAUGAAACUUUAAUGAACCCUUCGGGGAGAAUUAAAGCGGAUUAGUGGCGAACGGGUGAGUAACGCGUGAGUAACCUGCCUUACACAAGGGGAUAGCCUUUGGAAACGAAGAAUAAUACCCUAUAAAACCAUAAAAGCACAUGCAAUUAUGGUCAAAGUGAUAGCGGUGUAAGAUGGACUUGCGUCUGAUUAGCUAGUUGGUGAGAUAAAAGCCCACCAAGGCAACGAUCAGUAGCCGGCUUGAGAGAGUGUACGGCCACAUUGGGACUGAGACACGGCCCAGACUCCUACGGGAGGCAGCAGUGGGGAAUUUUGCACAAUGGGGGAAACCCUGAUGCAGCGACGCCGCGUGAUUUAGAAGGCCUUCGGGUUGUAAAAAUCUUUUGUAUAGGAAGAAAAUGACAGUACUAUACGAAUAAGGUCCGGCUAAUUGCGUG
rnacentral:rRNA from 1 species